rnacentral:tRNA from 1 species
GUUAGGAAGCCUGAGGAAAGGGCCAUCUUGAUGUGAUGGAUCACGUGCACCAACCACUCCUAACU